rnacentral:rRNA from 1 species
GGGGGGGGGGGGGGGGGGGGGUGGGGCGGGGAGGGGGAGGGGGGAGGGGCGGCGGUUGGGGGGGGCUGGGGUGGCGGAGGGGGGGGUAACACGGGAGUGAGCUGGGGGUGGGAGGGGGAUAACGGAGGGCGACGAGGGGUCAUAGCGGGUGGGGGCUCCUGCAGCAUAGGGGGGGUUGGAAAGGUACGGCGGUUAGGGAUAUACGCGCGUCUUCUGAGCGUGUUGGUGUGGUAGUGGCGUACCAAGGCUUUGACGGGUAGCCGGCCUGAGAGGGUGACCGGCCUCAUUGGGACUGAGAUACGGCCCAGACUCCUACGGGAGGCAGCAGUGGGGGAUAUUGCACAAUGGGCGGAAGCCUGAUGCAGCAACGCCGCGUGCGGGAUGACGGCCUUCGGGUUGUAACCCGCUUUCGCCCGUGACGAAGCGUGAGUGACGGUAAUGGGUAAAGAAGCACCGGCUAACUACGUG